rnacentral:lncRNA from 1 species
CUCCCUCUCUCUCUCUCUCUCUGCAACCAUGACUGCCACGAUGGGUCCACCGCCUCCCAGGAACCCUAAACCCUCGACCGAACAGGAGUCGAUAGCCCAAGAACAAUCCGAACCCAUAACAGCCAAAACCACGAUGGGUCCUCCGCCACCUCUUCCCAUAAACCCUAACCCCUCGACCGAACCCGAGUCGAUAGCCCAAGAGGAAUCCGAACCCAUAACAGCCAAAACCACGAUGGGUCCUCCGCCACCUCUUCCCAUAAACCCUAACCUGCAAAAUCCCCUAGACGAAGAAAAACCAUCAAAGUCAGAACCAAAUUCAACUGAAAAGCCCUUAAAUCCAAAGCAAUCUUCUGUGCCUUACACAAUCCCUCCGUGGAGUGGACCUCCUUGUCACCAU